UUAACUCAAAUUUAUAUGGGAGUUGGAACGUUUGCCUACGUUUGCCGCUAGGGGCGCUGUUCCAACUGCAUACAAAUUUGAGUUA
rfam:Bombyx mori DNA, contig: Bm_scaf58_contig28409, strain: p50T/Dazao, build 2, whole genome shotgun sequence.